rnacentral:misc_RNA from 1 species
AACGCACAUUGCGCCUCCUGGUAUUCCGGGAGGCAUGCCUGUUCGAGCGUCAUCAAACCCAUCCUCAAGCAUCUUUGCUUGGUUGUGGAGGAAGAUGGUCUGUUGACCAUCCCCUCUAGAAUUCCUCAGCGGAGACCACAGCAGACUCAGGUGUGAUAAUACUACCUCGCUUGAGUGCUAUUGUGGGCUUCCGCUGGAAACCAGCCCCCAGCUAUUACCAUGUUUGACCUCGGAUCAGGUAGGGAUACCCGCUGAACUUAA